GACGAACGCUGGCGGCGUGCUUAACACAUGCAAGUCGAACGGAAAGGCCCUGCUUUUGUGGGGUGCUCGAGUGGCGAACGGGUGAGUAACACGUGAGUAACCUGCCCUUGACUUUGGGAUAACUUCAGGAAACUGGGGCUAAUACCGGAUAGGAGCUCCUGCUGCAUGGUGGGGGUUGGAAAGUUUCGGCGGUUGGGGAUGGACUCGCGGCUUAUCAGCUUGUUGGUGGGGUAGUGGCUUACCAAGGCUUUGACGGGUAGCCGGCCUGAGAGGGUGACCGGCCACAUUGGGACUGAGAUACGGCCCAGACUCCUACGGGAGGCAGCAGUGGGGAAUAUUGCACAACGGGCGGAAGCCUGAUGCAGCAACGCCGCGUGCGGGAUGACGGCCUUCGGGUUGUAAACCGCUUUCGCCUGUGACGAAGCGUGAGUGACGGUAAUGGGUAAAGAAGCGCCGGCUAACUACGUGCCAGCAGCCGCGGUGAUACGUAGGGUGCGAGCGUUGUCCGGAUUUAUUGGGCGUAAAGGGCUCGUAGGUGGUUGAUCGCGUCGGAAGUGUAAUCUUGGGGCUUAACCCUGAGCGUGCUUUCGAUACGGGUUGACUUGAGGAAGGUAGGGGAGAAUGGAAUUCCUGGUGGAGCGGUGGAAUGCGCAGAUAUCAGGAGGAACACCAGUGGCGAAGGCGGUUCUCUGGGCCUUUCCUGACGCUGAGGAGCGAAAGCGUGGGGAGCGAACAGGCUUAGAUACCCUGGUAGUCCACGCUGUAAACGGUGGGUACUAGGUGUGGGGUCCAUUCCACGGGUUCCGUGCCGUAGCUAACGCUUUAAGUACCCCGCCUGGGGAGUACGGCCGCAAGGCUAAAACUCAAAGGAAUUGACGGGGCCCCGCACAAGCGGCGGAGCAUGCGGAUUAAUUCGAUGCAACGCGUAGAACCUUACCUGGGUUUGACAUGGAUCGGGAGUGCUCAGAGAUGGGUGUGCCUCUUUUGGGGUCGGUUCACAAGUGGUGCAUGGCUGUCGUCCGCUCGUGUCGUGAGAUGUUGGGUUAAGUCCCGCAACGAGCGCAACCCUUGUUCACUGUUGCCAGCACGUUAUGGUGGGGACUCAGUGGAGACCGCCGGGGUCAACUCGGAGGAAGGUGGGGAUGACGUCAAGUCAUCAUGCCCCUUAUGUCCAGGGCUUCACGCAUGCUACAAUGGCUGGUACAGAGAGUGGCGAGCCUGUGAGGGUGAGCGAAUCUCGGAAAGCCGGUCUCAGCUCGGAUUGGGGUCUGCAACUCGACCUCAUGAAGUCGGAGUCGCUAGUAAUCGCAGAUCAGCAACGCUGCGGUGAAUACGUUCCCGGGGCU
rnacentral:rRNA from 1 species